rnacentral:rRNA from 1 species
ACGAAGGGUGCAAACGUUGCUCGGAAUUAUUGGGCGUAAAGCGCACGUAGGCGGCUUAGCAAGUCCCAUGUGAAAUCCUACGGCUUAACCGUAGAAGUGCAUGGGAAACUGCUGAGCUUGAGUACUUAAGAGGAUCGCGGAAUUCCCGGUGUAGAGGUGAAAUUCGUAGAUAUCGGGAGGAACACCAGUGGCGAAAGCGGCUCACUGGACCACAACUGACGCUGAUGCGCGAAAGCUAGGGGAGCAAACAGGA